UUUUCUCCUGGACAAGGAGAGAGUGCGGCUGCUGAGAGCCGAGCCCAGCAAUCCCGAUCCUCUGAGUCGUGAAGAAGGGAGGCAGCGAGGGGGUUGGGGUUGGGGCCUGAGGCAAGCCCCCAGGCUCCGCUCUUGCCAGAGGGACAGGAGCCAUGGCUCAGAAAAUGGACUGUGGUGCGGGCCUCCUCGGCUUCCAGGCUGAGGCCUCCGUAGAAGACAGCGCCUUGCUUAUGCAGACCUUGAUGGAGGCCAUCCAGAUCUCAGAGGCUCCACCUACUAACCAGGCCACCGCAGCUGCUAGUCCCCAGAGUUCACAGCCCCCAACUGCCAAUGAGAUGGCUGACAUUCAGGUUUCAGCAGCUGCCGCUAGGCCUAAGUCAGCCUUUAAAGUCCAGAAUGCCACCACAAAAGGCCCAAAUGGUGUCUAUGAUUUCUCUCAGGCUCAUAAUGCCAAGGAUGUGCCCAACACGCAGCCCAAGGCAGCCUUUAAGUCCCAAAAUGCUACCUCUGGGAGGCACUACGCAAGAUGGGACUGCGUCCUGGGGUGAGACAUCCCCUCCUUGGAGAUCUAAGGAAACUUCUCACCUAUGAGUUUGUAAAGCAGAAAUACCUGGACUACAGACGAGUGCCCAACAGCAACCCCCCGGAGUAUGAGUUCCUCUGGGGCCUCCGUUCCUACCAUGAGACUAGCAAGAUGAAAGUGCUGAGAUUCAUUGCAGAGGUUCAGAA
rnacentral:lncRNA from 1 species